GCCUGGGUGGCUCAGUCAGUUAAGCGUCUGACUUCAGCUCAGGUCAUGAUCUCACAGUUCAUGAGUUCGAAUCCCAUGUGAGGCC
rnacentral:tRNA from 1 species